rnacentral:ncRNA from 1 species
UAUCAUUGUGAAGCAGAAUUCACCAAGCGUUGGAUUGUUCACCCACCAAUAGGGAACGUGAGCUGGGUUUAGACCGUCGUGAGACAGGUUAGUUUUACCCUACUGAUGUCUUGUCGUUGCUAUGGUAAUCCUGCUUAGUACGAGAGGAAACGCAGGUUCAGACAUUUUUUGGUUUAUGUGCUUGGUCGAAAGACCAAUGGUGCGAAGCUACCAUCUGAGGGAUUAAGACUGAAAGCCUCUUAAGUCUGAAUCCCGCCCAGAAAUGCAACGAUACUAUCGGUGCCCCUACGCCGGGAGGCAACGAUAUACUCGGCCCGAAAUCCGAUUUCGGCGGCCGAGACUGGCUAAAGCCACUGCGAUACUGGCCACACCCGCUGUCUUGAAAUUUGGCAGUGGAGGCACAGACACGAUACCACUUGAUUGAGACGUAGGGGUUCUAUAUCGUUUGUAGACGACUUAGAUCUCGGUCGUCGGGGUGCCGUACUUAGUUGAGCAGUUCUUCACUGCGAUCUAUUGAGGCUAAGCCUUUUGACGGGGAGAUAUGU